rnacentral:snRNA from 1 species
UUUGAGGCUCCGCUUCGGCGGAGCUAAAGAGGACUUUAUAUUAAACGGAUUUUUGGGCGCGGGAGUUGGACCCGGAGCUUGCUCCCUCCGCUCCGCGCAUCGUCCCGGUAUGGCAGUACCUCCGGGCACUAAUUAGUUAUU